UAGCAUGCAUGUCCAAGUAUGAACUGCUUAUACUGUGAAACUGCGAAUGGCUCAUUAAAUCAGUUAUAGUUUAUUUGAUGGUACCUGGCUACUCGGAUACCCGUAGUAAUUCUAGAGCUAAUACGUGCGCACAUCCCGACUCUGUGGAAGGGACGUAUUUAUUAGAUAAAAGGCCGACCGGGCUUGCCCGACUCGCGGCGAAUCAUGAUAACUCCACGAAUCGCACGGCCUCCGCGCCGGCGAUGUUUCAUUCAAAUUUCUGCCCUAUCAACUUUCGAUGGUAGGAUAGAGGCCUACCAUGGUUUUGACGGGUGACGGGGAAUUAGGGUUCUAUGCCGGAGAGGGAGCCUGAGAAACGGCUACCACAUCCAAGGAAGGCAGCAGGCGCGCAAAUUACCCAAUCCCGACACGGGGAGGUAGUGACAAUAAAUAACAAUACCGGGCUCUUACGAGUCUGGUGAUUGGAAUGAGAACAAUCUAAAUCCCUUAACGAGGAUCGAUUGGAGGGCAAGUCUGGUGGACACUCCCAACCCUCGACGUCGGCGUCGCCCCCCCACCGGGGCCCGCCGGCGCGCUGUUGGCGCCAGAGAUAGUGGGGCGACGGCCAGCCCGCGGGCGGCGGCCGUCGUUAGGCCCGCUAGUCGAUGCAGCCGAUGUCAGGAGAUCGGGCGGCUGCCGGCAAGACGACCUGGAACGGGGAAGGCCUUCACGGAAGCUCGGGCUGAUCCCGUGGCGAGCGCGCCGAGGGCGACCUCGGCGACGCCGUCGUAACGCACGCUAAGGCGUCGGUGGCUCUCCUCUCCCCCCGGCCGGGGGGCGGGAGGCCGCUUAAGGGACGUGCUACCCCAGCCGAUGACAAAGGCUGCUCCGCGGAUUAGGCCCCGAUCGCCGAAGCCGAGGAGGCGUCGCGCCCGGAUCCGGGUGCGGCGCGGUCGGAACUCAUUGCAGCCAGCCGCACACAGCGGAAGGCACAGGACUCAGCAACAAGCGAUUGUCGUCCAAGCACUACCGAGCUGUCUCGCUACAAAGUCUGCUCGGCAUCCUCCUGCUCCUCCGGCGGCAGCUGCGAAAGGCUCAGGCGUCCAGUCAUGGCCUCGUCGUCGUAGUUGUUCGUCCAGCAGGUGGUGCCGUCCGGCUUCGCGUGCGCCAGCUUGCACCAGUCCUCCCUGAACGACCGGUACCUCUCGAGCGUGUUUGCGCUCUGGAGGAAAUGGUGGCAAUGGAUCUCGGUGUCGUUCUCGUGCUUCGUCCCCGUCUGCAGGCGACGAGUGGCCCGGUCACUCGCCGCCGGCGACGCAGGGGGGGAGGCGCGGGCGAGAGACAUGCCUCCAGGUGGAAGGGGCUGAUGCACCACAUGUGUCCGCACAGGUGCCUCAGGACGGUGGACGUCUUCGCCUUGCCCUUGGUCGCGGUCCGCAAGUCGGCCAGCGACGGGACGGCGCACGGUGUGAAGAUGCCGGGCUCCAUCCAGUCGAUGUACGCGACCGCGAAGGCGAUGACGUGGUAGAAGUACGCCUGCGGCCGAGACCGCGGAGGUGUGCUGUUGCUUGGAUGUGGUCUGUGGGUAGUCGUCAACAAGAGGCACCUUGUUGGCGGUGGCGCCUGGCACGUGGAAGUGGAAAGGCACGAAGCGCGGAUGGUCGGCCGUGAACAGCCGGCGCGUCAGCCGAGCCCGCGAUGACAUCGCGAUGGCGAAGCAGUGCCCCGCCCCGUGCUCAGCCAGCUGCGCCUUGCCCAUGACCAGCUCGUCCCCCCUCAUGGGCACGACGAGCGGGCGAAACUCCUUGUUGCUAGAGCGUAACCUCCUGUCCUUCUGCCUCUCCGCAAAAGUGCGCUGGCGGAACGUCUGCGUGGGCGCAACACAUUCCGCUUCCUGGGUUUGCGGGCAUGCGACCGGAGCUCUUGGCCGUGUCAGGCGGCCGAGAGUCACCUGGAGCAGCCACGCCCCCACCUCGGCCAGCAGCUGGCCGGGUGGGAUGGUCGACGCGAACAGCGGGUCUUCCACCUUCUGCGCCCCGACGAGGAUCGCACUCCCCAACGCCCGCGGCAUGCCCCGCAGGAGCGUGUCGGGCACAGGCCAUUCGAAUGCCUGGUCCGCGCACUGCUCCCAGAGCUGCGGGCGCUCGGUGAAGUAGCGAGACAGCCGCGCGAAGUGCGGGUUGUGGACGUCGGGAGUGAGGAGUGACAUGGCGGCCCGCGCCCGGGAGCGGAGCGGAACUCUGAGGAUCGAGAAGCGGCGAGUCGUCUCUCUGUCCUGCGGCCGUGUGCGACUCGUCUCCGGGCUGUCGAGGGUUGGACAAACCCUCUUGGCGCCGGAGCCGAGGCGUCGCGCGCCCGCCAGAUUCCCUCCGUGUUGCCUCCCCCCCCAGAGUUCGGCAGUGAGCCCGAAGUGGCCAGCAGCCGCGGUAAUUCCAGCUCCAAUAGCGUAUAUUUAAGUUGUUGCAGUUAAAAAGCUCGUAGUCGGAUGUCGGGCGGCCUCCGUCGGUCCGCCGAUCGGCGU
rnacentral:rRNA from 1 species